AUGUUUUUAUCCCGUUUCUUGUGUGAUUUUUUAAGAUAUUCCCGACGAUCGGGGAGGCGAAGAGGAUGGUUCUGGUGAGGCACGGGCAGAGCACGUGGAACGAGGAGGGGAGGAUCCAAGGGAGCUCUGAUUUCUCCGUUCUCACCCCGAAGGACGUCUCAGGCCGAAACCUCUUGCCAUGUGCUCAUCGCCGACUCUUUUGAUGUCCGCUUCACCAGUCCCUUGAUCCGACCAAAGAGAACUGCUGAGAUUAUAUGGGCUGCUCGACAGGAGGAAAUGAUAUCAGAAUCUGACCUUCGGGAGAUUUAUCUCUACGCUUUUUAAGUUAGCAG